rnacentral:rRNA from 1 species
GGUGGAUACCUCGGCUCGUGUAUCGAUGAAGAACGCAGCUUGCUGCG